rnacentral:tRNA from 1 species
UCCCGGCUAGCUCAGUCGGUAGAGCGUGAGACUCUUAAUCUCAAGGUCGAGGGUUCGACCCCCUCGCUGGGAA